CUGUCUCCCUCUUUUCUCCUCUCCGUUCCGUCCAAACCCAGCCGGACACAACCGUCUCACCGCGCCGUUGUCCUGAUCUGUAACGCCGGGUUCUCACCAGUAGCCCCGUCCCAAUCGUCUCCAUCUCCGUUCGCGAAGCAAGGCCGCCGACCGUUCACGCCGGCUCACCGUCACGAACCACUCUGUCGUGAAGUUGUCUGUCGUUGGCGAAGUGGUGCGUCGUGAAGCUGCCUCUACCUCCCUUCGCAAAUCUGAAAUCGCGCGCGCCCGUAUCUUCCAAUCGUGCGUGUAACGCGACUACACUUCCCCAACCAGGAUGGGUCACAUCUAGAUCUUCACUAAAUUGCAAUUUUUGCCCUACCACAAGAAGUAUUGGGUUUUAGUGUGUUAAUUGAGGCGGAGUUAGACCUCAACGAAUCGCGACAAGUUUAUUUGGAGUUCAAUUUUCUAUUUAAAUUAGGAUUGAUGUGUUGGACUUUGUUGACCAAGAAAUCUUAAGGACGGAGAUUGUAGAUUGUGUUUGUAUGAGAUGCAGAUGUGAAUCUUGUGAUUUUCGUUUAGAUUGUGUAGGAAAUCAAGGAAAGGCAGUACUUGUUGAAGGAAUUCCCCGUGAACUGGUUUCUUGUAAGAAGUAUUGUAAAGUUUUGAAGGUUGGGUUGUGGUAAUGGAAUCACCGUUAUUCCAAUCUUGCGGUAACCUCCAACCAAGCUAAUUUUAAAGGUGUCAAGUGUAUUUUGAUGUAUUUUGAUUUUGGGGAAGAAUUCAUAUGACAAAAGCAUCAAGAAGUCGAUCGUCGGUCUGGAAAGUUAGUGAUAAACAUCCAGGUUGAUUGUUACAAUAUAAAUCUCUUAUUUGUUAAUGUCUUUUCCUUAUCUUAUCCAUCCUCUUUCAACAUAUCUUGCUAAUUUCAUAAGCUAACAUUGAUUGCGAUAGACUAUAAUGCUAGUGAUUCAGAUUCAGAUGAAUUGACUCGUGAUUCUUAACCACACUAGUGUUGUUGAUUUCUCUAUGUCAUGUCAAAACAACCACUUGUAUCUCCUCCACGACAUGUCGUUUUAGAAAUUUAAUUAACUUGUAAUUCUUUGACUUUAUGUGUGGCAUCAAUUAUUCUUUCUUGCA